rnacentral:rRNA from 1 species
AGGUAGUGAACAAGAAAUAACAAUACAGGCGAAUGUCUUGUAAUUGGAAUGAUGGUGACCCAAACCCUCACCAGAGUAGCAAUUGGAGGGCAAGUCUGGUGCCAGCAGCCGCGGUAAUUCCAGCUCCAAUAGCGUAUAUUAAACUUGUUGCAGUUAAAAAGCUCGUAGUUGUAUUUUUGCGUUGACGGUUUGACCAUUUGGUUGGUUAUUUCGUUUUCGCUUUUGGGAAUUUCCCUUUUUACUUUGAGAAAAUUAGAGUGUUUCAAGCAGACUUUUGUCUUGAAUACUUCAGCAUGGAAUAAUAGAGUAGGACUUUGGUUCUAUUUUGUUGGUUAUUGAACCUUAGUAAUGGUUAAUAGGAACG